rnacentral:lncRNA from 1 species
UCUUCAAGGGGUCGGGGGCGUCCGACCCCGGGACACUGGGUCGGGCGAGGCGGAGCGUGGCUCUCUCCUCCCGUGUUGGGCCGACGGCAAUCUUUGUUGCCUUAGGUGGCCCUGGGCCUUUAUAAUUUGUUAUUUUCAUGGGCUUUAGGAGGUCGUUAAUAUUUCCCCCCAACACCACCAUAGCCUCCCUACAUCGUGGUUGUGUCAUGGUGGAGAUCAGGAGCUAUUUGGGAUAAUCAAUGGUAUGUGCUCUGAGGAAAUGAUCUAAACAUAUCUAUUAUAUGAGCAAUGUUCUCCAUGUCAUCCGAUCUGUUAGCGACUCGAUGCCUCCUUUUAUGCUCUUAUACUUAUCAUGAAUAUGCUUGUUCCUCGAUCUAAUUCAUGGUUAGACUACAUAGCAUGCUUUUGUGUAAUCAUGGUGAUUAGAUCUAGUGUGUUGACCCUUCAUGAUAGCUAGAGACGUUUACCUUGUGAUCAUGCCCUUAUUCUACCUAUGCUGAUAUAGAGGAUCGUGACGAGGUCUUUCUUGUGUAAGGUGGGGGUUUUCGAGAGGUUGAAUGGAGGUAGUAGUUUAAAGAUUGCUUUUGAUGAGAUGCAGGUUGAGCUUGCUUAUUAGCUAGAACUACAACUAAAAGAUGAUAGGCUUUUGCUACCCUAUAUAUAUAUAUAUAUAUAUCGCAGAGGGAAGAUGGCUGAAAGAGGGAAAAACGAGCGACUUCGAAAAAUUCGGAUUUCAAAUUUCGAGUUACUAUUCAUAGCACUAUUCAAAUUUAGCGAACACUAUUCAAAUUCGCGGCACUAUUUAAAUUCAGCUCACUAUUCAAAUUCGGGAAUAUGAAUAGUGCCCGAGCACUCACCAGGGAGUGGGUGGAGCACCUCAGGGUGGAUGGGAAUGUGGCGGCGCUAUUCACUCACUAUUGCGCACUAUUGAGCUACUAUUCGGGGUCGCUUUCAGAGGAUAUGGUACGCGCGGGUGCGUGAUUAGGUAUAUAUCAUUGAUUAUAUCUAUUCUCAGGAUCUUUGCAGGGAGUAAACGAAGCAUAACCCUUAGCCCAGACACCGUGUCUACGCUACCAAUUACUUCCACAGUCUAACUACGUCUAGUACCCCAUAGCAGACUAGGGCACUCUGUAUAAAUAAAGAGCAACAAACCCACAAGUAAGAGAACUGAUCUCACUCAAAUAUAAGCACUACUAGUGUAUACUAUAUCAAGGUCUAAAGGCAUACAUUAGAGCAUACAAGCCAAUACUAUGAUAGCAAGGGUAUAUGACUAGCAUACAAGGCUAUACUAUGAUAGCAAGGGUAUACGCGGUGAAUCUAGUCGGUUUACUCCCGUCUGUGGGCCUAUGGAUCGUUGUGCUUACUUCUGAUUGGUUGAGAGUGUGUUUC